rnacentral:snoRNA from 1 species
ACCUAUGGUGAUUAUCUCUCCAAAGGGCCCAAAAGUGCACUUUUCAGGAAAGUAGCAACGUGGAAGAAAAUCUGGUAUUCUGAGGUAACUGAGUGAAAGA